rnacentral:misc_RNA from 1 species
AUACUCCUAUAGCUGUUCUACCGAGUACCUGCACUGAUUUAAUUCUAGUUGCAUGUUCCGACCACAUUACGUCCGCGAUGAAAACGAGAAUCCUACAGAUAAUAUGAUACCUUUGAACCGUACAAGGGGUACAUGCAAAUGAUGGCAUACAUAUCAGAGAGCAAUUAAAACUCUAUUUUAACUCAGAAAUUGGUCAAGUAGCCUGGCAAAAUAACUAGGUAUUAUUAAAUAAAAAUUACCUAAAGAUA